rnacentral:rRNA from 1 species
GACGAACGCUGGCGGCAUGCCUAACACAUGCAAGUCGAGCGAGCAGAUCCCUUCGGGGUGAAGCUAGCGGCGGACGGGUGAGUAACACGUGGGCAACCUGCCUCAUAGAGGGGAAUAGCCUUCCGAAAGGAAGAUUAAUACCGCAUAAGAUUGUAGCUUCGCAUGAAGCAGCAAUUAAAGGAGCAAUCCGCUAUGAGAUGGGCCCGCGGCGCAUUAGCUAGUUGGUGAGGUAACGGCUCACCAAGGCGACGAUGCGUAGCCGACCUGAGAGGGUGAUCGGCCACAUUGGGACUGAGACACGGCCCAGACUCCUACGGGAGGCAGCAGUGGGGAAUAUUGCACAAUGGGGGAAACCCUGAUGCAGCAAUGCCGCGUGAGUGAUGACGGCCUUCGGGUUGUAAAGCUCUGUCUUCGGGGACGAUAAAGACGGUACCCGAGGAGGAAGCCGCGGCUAACUACGUGCCAGCCGCCGCCGUAA